rnacentral:lncRNA from 1 species
UACAACCCGGUUCACUUUAACCUAACGAAGGGAUAUGAAUCGUCAUGAACGGAGUCUCCAUGCGCGGCCAUGAGCGUAAAAAUGGAGCUUCUCGGCGUUCACAGAUCCACGUUCUCCAUUCUUGUCUCAAAUCCUCGAUACAAAGCCUCAUCAACCACGAAUUCAAUGAUGAUAUCCCUAAUUGCGUCUAAGCUCAACGAAUUGAUCGAAACCGAAACGAAAUUACGAUGCAAAAACGAGACAAAACAUGGAUUGAAGUAGGAAGAACUCACCAGAUUCACUCUUCGAUUCGAGCAGGUACGAACUCUUCUUCUUCGCUUCUUAAUUGCUCCUUUUUUCUUCGUGGAUGUUCUGCUAUCGUAUUUUCUUUGAAUUCGGUUGGAAUUCAUUCUGUUCGUUGAAGGUUCUUCUUCUUCUAGGUUUAUAGGCGUUGCGUGAACUCUGGUGCAACUGGGGAGGAGUGAGAUAAGAAUGUGAUGCAGAAUCCGGAUUGAAGAUGAAACUUGGAAAAUGUUGAAGAAAUCAAUUGGAUAGUGAAGGUUGGAUCGAGUUUUAGGCGUGAAGAAGAAGACAAAAAAUGAAGAGUGAAUGUAAGGUAAGCUUUUUAUAACAAUUCCUCUCCCAAAACAGUUAGGAAUUCACAUUAAAUUUCACUGAAAUUUACAUCCAAAUUUGCUUGAAAUUCACAAGCAGUUAGGAAUUAGUUAGCUUAAAAAAUCUGUUGUGAAAUUCUUAAUGAAAUUCCAUCCAAAUUCAAGAGUUACCUCUUAAAUGAAGACAAAUGUUUGGUGUUAGUUAGGCUAAAGAAAAAGUUAUUUUACUAGGUCGAAAUUUAAUUGAAAUGAAAUGCAAUUUACAAUUAGUUUCCAUUUGGACUUACAGUGAACUAAAAAGUGUAUCUACUGUUAGGAAAAUGCUUUAAACUCCCGACUAGUAUUAAUACAUAAUGUUCCAGAAGUGUCAAAGUCCAGUGUUUGUUAGGUUGAUUGAUUGUGUUGCCUUGGCUGGAACUGAAAGUGUCAAAAGUCCAGUGUUUGUUAGGUUGAUUGAUUGUGUUGCCUUGGCUGGAACUGAGAGAGGCUUUGGUUGGCAUUUUUCCAUUGUUCACGUUGCUGUUUUUUUUUCUCUAUCGAAAUGAUGCAGGUCAUGGUUGUUAUGGUGAAGUGGAUUGGGUUUUCAUGGAUGCUGUUAUGCUCGUUUUGGCUUAGGUUCGGUAGGCUUGUAACAGAUCUCGCCUUGCUGGUGCGGGAUGCUUAUGGAUGUCGGUUUACUCGAUGACUUGCAAGGUCGUUUCAUGUGAUGUUUGCUUAUUGUUAUUUUGUUAAGAAGGGAAUUGUGAUUUGAGUUGGCGAGUCGAUUUUCUUAUGUUAAUCUGUUGGGAUUAGUUAUAGAAGUUAAUUGGUUUUUUGUUGAUUGAAGUUUAACUUCUGAAGUGAUUUAUUCAGGGCUGGGUUCAAUCGAACAUAUGCAAGGCGAUGCUUGUUGGACGUAUAUGAGGCAAUGUUAUGUGGUGCAUCAGACCUGCUAUGGUCCGGUUGUGCAGAAACUAAUUCCAUGCUUGCUUAUAUGCAUUGGCUUGUUUGAAAAGAAUUGAACAGUACAUCAACUGACAUGCUUAGGAACUGUUUUGAAAUGUCAAUUAUUUAUGUCAAUGAAGGUGAAUGUUAAUGUUAUUGAAUGCGUGGUAUUGAGAUGCAGGAAAUGGAUUAAAUGGAUUUGUUCGGACCAAUUGUGUUUGAAUCAUGUUUAGCCCCUUCACAGAGUGAUGGAUCAAAGCAUUGAAUGUGAGAAUUGGAAUGGAUUGGCAAGGAGGGUAAUCAUAGGCCAUGUUUGGAAUUUGUUAUGUUUAGAUUAUAAUUUUAUAAUUUUUGGAUUUGGCUUUGUAUGGUGAUGUAUUUGCACAUGGUUUUUGAUGUAAUCGAAUGUUUAAUGGUUAAUGUGUGGAGGAGUGAAAUAUUGUUAUGGAAUUUGGGUUUAUGGGAAUGGAUUAGAAUUUGGACAUGAGAUCAUUAUAGUGUAAUGUUGAAAAUUGAUUUAUGAAGUGUAAUGUAAUAAGGAUGGUUGAGAUGUUAUGUGUAAAUACAUUUGGAUUGGUACCGGUUAUGUAAUGAUAAUUUGAAUGGAUGUAAUGUGUUAGGAUUGGACACUUAUUGGUUUAGGAUGAAGAAGAAAAAUUGAGUUGACUUUGAUCAAAGUUGAUCAAAAAGUCAACGGUUGACCAAAGUCAACAAUUGGUCUAUAUGUAC